GGUCUGAUGCCACGUCGGCGAUAGCUCUAAUGACGUUGACCGGCAAUGCUAUGAUUGGACCGAAAGUGACUCCAUAUUUCGUAUGCUGAUAGAAACCUGAGGAUUUGGGUCUUACGUCAUUGGUCCACGGAGCUGAUUUCUGCGAUUACAUUU